rnacentral:rRNA from 1 species
CCUACGGGAGGCAGCAGUGGGGAAUAUUGCACAAUGGGGGAAACCCUGAUGCAGCCAUGCCGCGUGUAUGAAGAAGGCCUUCGGGUUGUAAAGUACUUUCAGUUGUGAGGAAGGCAGUUAAGUUAAUAGCUUAGCUGUUUGACGUUAGCAACAGAAGAAGCACCGGCUAACUCCGUGCCAGCAGCCGCGGUAAUAAU